rnacentral:lncRNA from 1 species
ACUCUGACACGUCGUUCUCAGCAGCUGAAGCCAUGUGCUGUGACUAUCUUUGGAGCCUCCCCAGCCCUGUUUAGUGCACAGCUGAACUGUAACUGUUGCAAACAUCUGGAGUGGAUGAGAUGGGAAAGGAGACCCGCAGUGAUUGUGGAUUCUGGGGAAGAUGGACCAGUGGUGGUGUGGUAGAUAGGUUGGGAAUCUUUUCAAAAUACAGCAAGAGGACACUGAUGAAGACUGUUGCAGGUCUAACUCUUCAGCCUGGCUUCAGAGGAGGGAUGGAGGUAUCUUAGCUGUAUCCCAACCCUGGUGUCCUUUCCCUUUUAGGCUUUUAGGGGGUGUGGUAGUUUGAAUAAGCUUGGCCCAGGGAGUGGCUCAAUUAGAAGGUCUGGCCUUGUUGGAGUGGGUGUGGCCUUGCUGGAGUGGGUGUGGCCUUGCUGGAGUGGGUGUGUCAUUGUGGGUAUGGGCUUUAGGACCCUCCUCCUAGCUGCUUGGGAGCCAGUCUUCUAGAGUCCUUUAGAGGAAGAUGUAGACCUCACAGCUUGUGCAGCACCAUGCCUGCCUAGAGGCUGCCAUGCUCCCUCCUUGAUGAUAAUAAAUUGAACCUCUGAACCUGUAAGCCAGCCCCAAUUAAAUGUUGUCUUUAUUAGA